GAUGAACGCUGGCGGCGUGCCUAAUACAUGCAAGUCGAGCGAACAGAUGAGGAGCUUGCUCCUCUGACGUUAGCGGCGGACGGGUGAGUAACACGUGGAUAACCUACCUAUAAGACUGGGAUAACUUCGGGAAACCGGAGCUAAUACCGGAUAAUCUAUUGAACCGCAUGGUUCAAUAGUGAAAGACGGUUUUGCUGUCACUUAUAGAUGGAUCCGCGCCGCAUUAGCUAGUUGGUAAGGUAACGGCUUACCAAGGCAACGAUGCGUAGCCGACCUGAGAGGGUGAUCGGCCACACUGGAACUGAGACACGGUCCAGACUCCUACGGGAGGCAGCAGUAGGGAAUCUUCCGCAAUGGGCGAAAGCCUGACGGAGCAACGCCGCGUGAGUGAUGAAGGUCUUCGGAUCGUAAAACUCUGUUAUUAGGGAAGAACAAAUGUGUAAGUAACUAUGCACGUCUUGACGGUACCUAAUCAGAAAGCCACGGCUAACUACGUG
rnacentral:rRNA from 1 species